UGUCAAGUGUGUCAAGCCGAUUGAGCGAGGUUCCUGACGGCAAUCAUUUUUUUACUGAAUAAAAAUUAAAUAUGUUUUCAUUAUGAUUUGCAUAAUAAAGAUGUCUUCUUCUUAGAAAUAUCGUUGGAAUGAUAUUUGUUUGGCAAAAAAUGAAAUUGGUACCAAAUUUACAAACACUGGUGGAAAAACAUAAGCGCGUCAUGGGCCUGCAUGAUGCAUCAAAAAAUAAACUAUUUUACAUUUUUGUGCAGGUCAGGCUGUAUUUUGUGGGCAGUUUAUUCUGCUUAAUUCUGGUGAAUAUAAGUAAAUUGGACGUGUAGUAGAUUUAUAAAGGAGACUAAUAUGCACGGCCGAAAAUGAAAUCAACGGCCGAAAAGGAAAUGAAUAGCAGAGCAAGCCGGUCGAACUUAUAGUCAACGACGUUCUUUAUCUAAACUUACGUCCCAUAGCAAACUGCUGCUGCUUAAAAAGCUCCAGAAACAACAAGUACAACGAGUGCGCGGAAAACAGGAUAAAUCGGAUAACAUUGCCGCAUAGUUAUUCUUGGAAAAUAAAAUAAAUUCAUCUGCUUAUCUUGCUUCAAGUAGGAUCCCCCAGGUCGGAGGUGAAAAUCAGGACACCUAUUUUUCGACACGAAUUAUUAUUAUUCGAUGUAUAAAUAAAUUAAACUCGUGGUAUGUGAUUUGCACAUCGAAAUGCUAUGCGGUUGUUUAUCUAUUUAACAUGUUUCUCUAACGAUCCAAUUUCAUCAAGCAACUUUGAGUUUUUAGGCUUUCGUAGUUACCCAAAGAAUUCAGCACACGUAUAUUAUUUAAAAUAAAACAUACAUA